rnacentral:misc_RNA from 1 species
AUUCUCUUUCUAAAACCUUGUCAUAAACCUGAAAAAUGAUAUCUUUAAAACCAAGAAUAUCAGUAAAGAGAAAUGGUGUAUUUUUACUAGCGACACCCAAUGGUUGUAGACGGAAGGUAUUUACGUGUACUGGUGACCCAGGUUUAUUAAAAUAAGAAAAUGUGGAGAAAGAAGAAACAGUUCCUGAGGAGUGGAAAGAGGGAUGUCUCAUCAAGCUUCCUAAAAAAGGAAAUUUGAGUAUAACUGUGCCAACUAUAGAGGGAUAACAGCGUUAAAUGUUCCAGGGAAAGUAUUUAAUAGAAUAAUACUGAACAGAAUGAAAAAUUGGGUUAUAUACAGUAGGGCAGAAAAUAUAUACGUGUAUAUAAGAAAUUGUAUAUGGGUGAGAUAGACGUAAGAACAGAGCGUGAUAAAUCUUUGUCUGAUGAUGAAAACGGGAAAAUGUAUAAAGAUGUUCAUACUUUCAUACAGGAGUGUGGAAGAUUUAACUUAAUUAUUCAAAUAUAAAAGGUUAUAUUUUUUUGUCAAUUUGAAAUAGUUUAAUGUUCAGUGUAUUUGCAUUUCUUUUGAUAAGACUGUAUUCUACUUCUGCUUAUACAUUGUAUAUACAAGUAUAUAAAUAAGUAUUUUAUUUCUGUGUCACUUGUAAAAAAAAAGUAUUACAUAAUUGUUAUAAAUGGAGAUGAUAAUCUAAGUUAUCAUAAUUUGUGUUCAAUCCUUUUAACAUUUGUAGUCAAUAAAAUUCAAUUCAA